ensembl:piRNA 21ur-1242 ncRNA
UAUGAAAGGAUACAGCUGCGC